rnacentral:rRNA from 1 species
GUGACGGCGUACCUUUUGUAUAAUGGGUCAGCGACUUACGUUCAGUAGCAAGCUUAACCGUAUAGGGCAGGCGUAGCGAAAGCGAGUCCGAAUAGGGCGUUCAGUUGCUGGGCGUAGACCCGAAACCAAGUGAUCUAUCCAUGGCCAGGAUGAAGGUGCGGUAACACGUACUGGAGGUCCGAACCCACUAACGUUGAAAAGUUAGGGGAUGAGCUGUGGAUAGGGGUGAAAGGCUAAACAAACUUGGAAAUAGCUGGUUCUCUCCGAAAACUAUUUAGGUAGUGCCUCGUGUCUCACCUUCGGGGGUAGAGCACUGUCAUGGUUGGGGGGUCUAUUGCAGAUUACCCCGCCAUAGCAAACUCCGAAUACCGAAGAGUGCAAUCACGGGAGACAGACAUCGGGUGCUAACGUCCGGUGUCAAGAGGGAAACAACCCAGACCGCCAGCUAAGGUCCCCAAAUAUAGCUAAGUGGGAAACGAAGUGGGAAGGCUAAAACAGUCAGGAGGUUGGCUUAGAAGCAGCCACCCUUUAAAGAAAGCGUAAUAGCUCACUGAUCGAGUCGUCCUGCGCGGAAGAUGUAACGGGGCUAAGCUAUAUACCGAAGCUGCGGAUGCGUGCUUUGCACGCAUGGUAGGAGAGCGUUCCGUAAGCCUGCGAAGGUGCGUUGAAAAGCGUGCUGGAGGUAUCGGAAGUGCGAAUGCUGACAUGAGUAGCGAUAAAGGGGGUGAAAGGCCCCCUCGCCGUAAGCCCAAGGUUUCCUACGCAACGUUCAUCGGCGUAGGGUGAGUCGGCCCCUAAGGCGAGGCAGAAAUGCGUAGCUGAUGGGAAGCAGGUCAAUAUUCCUGCACCAUUGUUAGAUGCGAUGGGGGGACGGAUCGCGGAAGGUUGUCCGGGUGUUGGAAGUCCCGGUCGCUGCAUUGGAGAAGGCACUUAGGCAAAUCCGGGUGCGCAAUUCAAGGGUGUGGCGCGAGCUCCUUAGGGAGCGAAGCAAUUGGAAGUGGUUCCAAGAAAAGCCUCUAAGCUUCAGUCUAACGAUGACCGUACCGCAAACCGACACAGGUGGGCGAGAUGAGUAUUCUAAGGCGCUUGAGAGAACUCGGGAGAAGGAACUCGGCAAAUUGGUACCGUAACUUCGGGAUAAGGUACGCCCUUGUAGCUUGAUGCGCCUGCGCGCAGAGGGUGAAGGGGUUGCAAUAAACUGGUGGCUGCGACUGUUUAAUAAAAACACAGCACUCUGCAAACACGAAAGUGGACGUAUAGGGUGUGACGCCUGCCCGGUGCCGGAAGAUUAAAUGAUGGGGUGCAAGCUCUUGAUUGAAGUCCCGGUAAACGGCGGCCGUAACUAUAACGGUCCUAAGGUAGCGAAAUUCCUUGUCGGGUAAGUUCCGACCUGCACGAAUGGCGUAACGA